UACGUAGGGUGCGAGCGUUGUCCGGAAUUACUGGGCGUAAAGAGCUCGUAGGUGGUUUGUCGCGUUGUCCGUGAAAACUCACAGCUUAACUGUGGGCGUGCGGGCGAUACGGGCAGACUGGAGUACUGCAGGGGAGACUGGAAUUCCUGGUGUAGCGGUGGAAUGCGCAGAUAUCAGGAGGAACACCGGUGGCGAAGGCGGGUCUCUGGGCCACUACUGACGCUGAGAAGCGAAAGCAUGGGGAGCGAACAGG
rnacentral:rRNA from 1 species